UUUGACUUGAACUGAAUAAACUAGUAUUAUGGAAAGAGAGGGUACCAGAAUUUUCUAACAUCUCUGUGAGUUUGGUUGGGUCUGGCACCAGAUAGCAAACAACUUUGUUAGUGUGUAUGCCACUAGCAAAGUAUAUGUCACAUCAUAUUUGGGCAUGCUUAAUAAGAUAUCAUUAAUUAUUUAUAUGGAAGUCGUAGCUUGGUAUCCUGAAUUUUAUCUGGAAACCCUUUGUCUUCACAGCAACUUUAGAUUUGAUAAGAAUCAAUAAUCCUUGUGAUUUAUGGGCCUUCCACUUUCCCUAAGAGAGCACUGGAGGAUUACGUGAAGAAAAAUGCCUUCCACCUCUAGACACCUCGCCACCACAGGUGAACAGCUUUCUUCUUCCAGGAGCUUCUACCUAGAAGAAAUCUCUCAUCACAGGCCUCACAGCAAGCACAUCAGGUGACCAAGAACUGAUGUCAUUCAUUCGACAAAAUAACCCUUUUCCUCCUUUAAGCUGAUUCACCGCAGAUACUUUGUGACAGUAACAGAGAGCAAACCCAGCCCUGGGGGCUCCAGCUGAUGCUAUGAACUUCUGCAAGAUAGAUGUCAGCUCUCAGCUAUGCAGCCAGCAACACGAAUUACCCAGAAGAUGCUUUACCCCGGAAGCUGGAGCACAAGAAGUGGCAGAGUUAGCCCAGAAGAGUCACUUGAGUAUUUCUCAGUUGUUCUUUAGGAUGAUAAAUCUCUGCAUUUACACGGGGUGCUGGCCCAGAGCCACUGCUCCUGUGGAGGCAACAGGGAGUGGUGUAAAGUGAAGAGCAGUGCUCACCAACAUCAGGAAGGCCUGAGCUUUAGCUCAGUCACCUAUUUGUGCACCAUUACACAAGGGCUGUGUUCUGACGUACUACCACAAAACACUCAGCACUGGAAGCAUGGUGAGCCAGGCUUCCUGCAGAGCAGUCAUGAUUUCUGACCCUCAUGCCUCCAAGCCCUACCUGUGGUAUUUCCAUCUCUGAUUCCUCCUCUGGCUGAUCUGAGCCUGUGAGGUAUAUCCCACCUGUCUACCACACCUGGACAAGUCAGAACAGAAUACAGAGGGUACACUGUGCUUCUUCCUUUCAGGACAGCUUUUCCAUGUGACAGUGGUUUCCACCCUACCAUGUUCUCAAUCCUUUCCCCCAGUACUAUUUGCAUUCCUGCAGGCAGAUGGUGCCUGGGAAGGUAUGCACCAAGUAGAAGGAAGUUUUGUGUUUCAGAUUCUGGCUGGCAUUGGCUUUCACAGAGAUUUGGGUAUAGGAUGCUACAUAAUUCUCACCAAAAAUGCUGUUUCAUCUUCUGCUCAUAGCCAAGGGACUAUGCCAGAGGCCAAAGGAGUAAAUGAUAAGGCCACAUUUUAAAGUGGGCAUUUGGCCACUCUGCCACCAAGCACUUUUUGUUUCUAAUUCUCCGGCCACCAGGAUUAAGAGUAGAUUAAUAGAAAUUGUGUUCCAAAGAGAGUAGAAACAUGAUGACAUCGUGAUGGCUGAUGGGAAAGCUCUCCUUGGUGGUUUCUCAUUCAUUUGUUUUUUAAGACAGUAUCUUACUUUGGAGUUGUCCUCAUACACUCUUUACAGCCUUGGUUGGUCUCAAAUUCACAGCAACCCUCCUUCCUUGGCCUCUUGAGCACAGAGGUUGUAGAUACAAGCCAUGACACCUGGCUAGGAGUUCUUUUAAUUUGCUCCGUUGCAACAGGGAUUGUAGCUCAAGCAAUGAGGUGUUUCUUCUACAAGUACUUCUUAUCCAUAUCUUCACUGAUGGACCCCAACUACUUGGAACCGUGUCUAGUUCAUGAUCGGUGCUCAACACAUGAAGGGCACAGCGUUUAUUGAGGCAGGUACAUCCAGGUGACAUGAAAGUAGCUCUUAGGGGACCAGAUGACAAGAGCUUCAGGAUUGAGGUGAAGCACCGCUCAUCUCCUGUUCACAGGCUUUCUUCCUUCCCACUUUUCCUGAUAACAGGCUCUGUUGACUUGUAUCUUUCCUCUACCUCAUAAUUGCUGCUUCUUCAUAAACCUGUCUUAGCAUAUGUUCUGCUUUCUCACAUGUUUGGAUUGCAACCACCCUCUAAGGCCCUACUCAGUGUAAUGGCACCCUUUCAGCUUCAUUUCCAUAGACAAAUGCUUCGUUAUCUCUUGCAUCCUGACCCAUGUCCCGGAAGCACAGAAUCGCGCAGACGAAGCUCAUCUCUUGCACCUGGGGUUGGUUUUUGGAGAGGCAACCCUCAGGUCACAGUCCACCUACUGGUCCAAUCAAGAGCCAUUCCUCAGUAAAGAACAACCAAGUUCAGCUGCUCAGAGCAGGGGGCUGUGGGUGGGGCAGUUUCACCUCAAAGAGGAAGUUGGGUGUGGCGGGCACUUUGUUGACAUAUCCAAUAUAGGAGUGCCCAUCUCUCAUCUCUGACAGAGAUAACUGUGGGUUUGAACCUUUUACCAGGCACUCCCAGAGAAAGCACAGCCUGAUGCACUCACUGGGAACUUUGUGAGUCUGGAGUCUCCAUCACCAAUUCCCUGCAGUGUUCCUCCUGGGACUACUAUGAUGCUUCAACCUGCACCUGUUUGGAGUUCAUUGGGGUCUGGAGUCUGUCUUCUGUUUAGCUGCAGUUGUUUGGAUAAUACCCUCUUCAGAACAACAGCGAAGCAGAGCUACUUUUGUAAGAGUGGAUGGUAGAAGAGUCCUCACUCAAACAUUUGGGUUUCUUUCUUAAUUAAAAAAUAUUGUUAUCUUUA